rnacentral:lncRNA from 10 species
UGUUUGGGUGCUUUGAAGAUCUGUUUUAAAGAAACUUUUCUGGGAAAGGAAAGAGUCAGGCAGUACCAACCUUUUCAUGAGAGCUAUAGAAUGGUUUCAAAUAAGCCAAUUCAGAUUUAUCUCUGUCUCCUUUAAUGGUAUCAUCCACAGCUGGAGAUCCCCGUGCACAAUUACCUGCGUCACUUUCAGUUUACCUUCCUCUUGUCUGGAAGAACAGAGAAUUCUUGCAAUAGAAGCUUUGUGAUAUCACAAAGCUGGGGACUUACUGGAAAAAUGUGAGACUCACACACCUGGCCAGGAGGAAAAAACUCAGGACUGCAGUGGACAUUUGUCCAAUUGGUGGCCAACAAUGAGCUUUGAGUAAAUUUUCUAUAUUGAAGGAGCUUCUCAUCUUAUGCAUGCCAUCUCUGCAAAUUAGAAGCUGGGACUCAAUUUUCCAGUCUCUCUUGCAACUAGGAUAUAGACAUGUGACCUGUGCUCUGGCCAUUAGUUGCAGCCUUUUGAGAUUUUCAUUCACAACAUAAAAUGCGAAAAAGCAGGCACUGACUGAAUCCAUUCCUGGAGUACGUAAGUAGCAGAAAGUGAUGAUGGUGAGCUUCUAUGGACAUUAGUGCCUGACAUCCCAGUACUGUGGUAGUAUUCACACGCUUGGUUCCCACACUGUCA